rnacentral:lncRNA from 1 species
GUCAGCGCCCUGCCAAACCGCUUCACUGCCAUCGCCUUGGGAGAUUUUGCAGGCUCUGUCAUCGCAGCCCGGUUGAGUUCAGCCACGGUAGCGCUUGCAAACAGCCACACCAUGUGCUAUCCAUGUGAAAGCAUGAUCGAGGACAUGACCACCUCGUCGGGAGCUUCCUCAACCGCCGAUGCGCCGCUGCUAUGCUCCUCUGCGCUGUCGUCUUCACCUCAUCAUUGUCGUUCCCAUUCCAUCACACCACCAUCUCUAGAGUUUGUGCCGUCAUCAUACGAGCAUCAUGCUGCCACUUCUCUGUCAUGGUUGAGAGGCCAUCACUCUGCUGCUCUUCUGUUCUUCCAUGUCGGGUUGCUGUCGUGUGCACAUAAAGACGCCACUGCCUCGUCGUCUAGCACAUAUUGUUGCUGCCAUGUCUCCACUAUCGUGGUUGGUAAGGACCUGCACUGCCUCCACUUUUUAUAA